rnacentral:rRNA from 1 species
GAUGAACGCUGGCGGCGUGCCUAAUACAUGCAAGUCGAGCGAACAGAUAAGGAGCUUGCUCCUUUGACGUUAGCGGCGGACGGGUGAGUAACACGUGGAUAACCUACCUAUAAGACUGGGAUAACUUCGGGAAACCGGAGCUAAUACCGGAUAACAUAUUGAACCGCAUGGUUCAAUAGUGAAAUGCGGCUUUGCUGUCACUUAUAGAUGGAUCCGCGCCGUAUUAGCUAGUAGGUAAGGUAACGGCAUACCAAGGCAACGAUACGUAGCCGACCCGAGAGGGGGGAUGGCUACCCGGGAAGAGAGACACGGUCCCGACUCCUGCGGGAGGCAGCAGUAGGGAAUCCUACGCGAGGGGGGAGAGCCGGACGGAGCAACGUCGCGGGAGUGAUGAAGGAGCUCCGAUCGGAAAACUAUGUUAUCAGGGAAGAACAAAUGUGCAAGUAACUGUGCACAACUUGACGGUACCUGAUCAGAAAGCCACGGCUAACUACGUG